UAUCUUCUCAUCCCAAAAUUGCAAAUCACGGGAAUUUUAUGUACAGAAUGUUGAUCAAAGCGGCAGCAUUUUUUGGCCCCCCGCCUCGACCGAAAUCAUACCUGGAAAUCGCCGAGGACCUGCAUGGUACCACAGUGACAAUCCUUCUGUUUCUUACUUUUCUACACAAACGUGCCUGUGAAAUUGUUAUCGCAUUUUCGAAGAAGUGAUGAGGGAAUCGUAAAAGAGUUGCGCUAGUUUAUGGUCAAAUGUGCGCCCCCCGAGAUGCGUAUCAUCAAAAUAUAUUUUGUUUUUAUGGCGCAAAUUUAAGUAGCAAUUUUAUGAUUCCAUAUUAUUUACGAGGCAUAUUUUUCACCUUACUUAUCAUUUCUAAAAAAUUUAAAAGAAUACAACCAGAUCAACCUAC